GACAGAGGGUGCGAACGUUGCUCGGAAUCACUGGGCGUAAAGGGCGUGUAGGCGGUUGGUCAAGUCCGAUGUGAAAGCCCGGGGCUCAGCUUCGGAAGUGCAUCGGAAACUAGCCAGCUGGAGCGCGAUAGAGGAGGGCGGAAUUCCUGGUGUAGCGGUGAAAUGCGUAGAUAUCAGGAGGAACACCGGCGGCGAAGGCGGCCCUCUGGAUCGUUGCUGACGCUGAGACGCGAAAGCGUGGGGAGCAAACAGG
rnacentral:rRNA from 1 species